ACACAACAGCAUGGUUUGAAAAAAAGAGGUUACCAGUGAUGUAAGGGAUAUGUGAUUUGUAUUAAAUGGGCUGAAACAGUGGUUCCCAAUAUGGGAUUUGGGACCCCAAAGAUAAGGGAUGAAGAAAAAAAACAUUACAAAACAACUAAUCUGAUUCUGCCACUCUAUAAGGUGUCUGUUUACCGAAGGUGAAAACCUUUACUUCAUUAGUGUAUAGUGAGAUCAGACAGAUCAUACUAUACAGCCAGAGUUAAAUCUUGAAAUACCUGCAGAAGAUGGACGUUGUCUGUGGAACAGCUUGGGAAGACAGUGAGAAGAGAGACGGGAAGGACAGAAUGAGGGAAGCCUCUCAGUCUGUAGAUUGAGGCAGAGCAUAUUGGAUUUCAUGGGGAACUAGCGCUGAUGUGGAGAUACUGCUUCUUUUGUUUUAAUUUGUAACCCAAUGCUGGAGCCGUCUGAGCUGCCAGUAGAGAAUGCAGAUGCCAAAGAUGUGGGGGUGAGUUAAGGAGAACGGAGAGGCCACCGGAUGGUAUCAAAACCCUUUUCACUUCUCUUGGUGUGGCGCCGAUCUCAUUGACUCAAAUAGCCAACAGUCACCCGAGGAACGUGUCUGGAGCUACAAAGAGUCGCCCUAGGCUGCGCCGAAUAGCUUUCGGAGCAGCUAAACAGUGUAAAACUGGAAAACACCUGCUGUGGCCUCACUGACUGGGCUGUGACCACAAAAUGUCAUCCCAGAGAGAGCAGUGCAGCACAAAUGUAGCCUGUAUCUAACAGUAAGGCUGGGUAUUGAACCAGGGAUGCAAAGAUACCGGAUCGGAUAUCGGGCCGAUAUUGACUCGAAAAGCUGGAUCGGAUAUCAGUGACAAUGGGGCUGAUCUACUCAAUUCAAUUCUAUGUUUAUAUACUAUA